AGAGUUUGAUCCUGGCUCGAGAUUGAACGCUGGCGGCAGGCCUAACACAUGCAAGUCGAGCGGUAGAGAGGUGCUUGCACCUCUUGAGAGCGGCGGACGGGUGAGUAAUACCUAGGAAUCUGCCUGGUAGUGGGGAUAACGUUCGGAAACGGACGCUAAUACCGCAUACGUCCUACGGGAGAGAGCAGGGGACCUUCGGGCCUUGCGCUAUCAGAUGAGCCUAGGUCGGAUUAGCUAGUUGGUGAGGUAAUGGCUCACCAAGGCUACGAUCCGUAACUGGUCUGAGAGGAUGAUCAGUCACACUGGAACUGAGACACGGUCCAGACUCCUACGGGAGGCAGCAGUGGGGAAUAUUGGACAAUGGGCGAAAGCCUGAUCCAGCCAUGCCGCGUGUGUGAAGAAGGUCUUCGGAUUGUAAAGCACUUUAAGUUGGGAGGAAGGGCAUUAACCUAAUACGUUAGUGUUUGACGUUACCGACAGAAUAAGCACCGGCUAACUCUGUG
rnacentral:rRNA from 1 species